rnacentral:pre_miRNA from 1 species
UAAAUACCCCUCCAUCCGAAAAUACUUGUCAUCAAAAUGGAUAAAAAUAGAUGUAUCCAAAACUAAAAUACGUCUAGAUACAUUUCCUUUUAUCCAUUUUGAUGACAAGUAUUUUUGGACGGAGGGAGUAUUUG